GUGCCUGCGCUGCUAUACAUGCAAGUCGAGCGCAGGAACCGUCUGAACCCUUCGGGGGGACGACGGCGGAAUGAGCGGCGGACGGGUGAGUAACACGUAAAGAACCUGCCCAUAGGUCUGGGAUAACCACGAGAAAUCGGGGCUAAUACCGGAUGUGUCAUCGGACCGCAUGGUCCGCUGAUGAAAGGCGCUUCGGCGUCGCCCAUGGAUGGCUUUGCGGUGCAUUAGCUAGUUGGUGGGGUAAUGGCCCACCAAGGCGACGAUGCAUAGCCGACCUGAGAGGGUGAUCGGCCACACUGGGACUGAGACACGGCCCAGACUCCUACGGGAGGCAGCAGUAGGGAAUCUUCCACAAUGGACGAAAGUCUGAUGGAGCAACGCCGCGUGAACGAUGAAGGCUUUCGGGUCGUAAAGUUCUGUUGUAAGGGAAGAACAAGUGCCGCAGGCAAUGGCGGCACCUUGACGGUACCUUGCGAGAAAGCCACGGCUAACUACGUGCCAGCAGCCGCGGUAAUACGUAGGUGGCAAGCGUUGUCCGGAAUUAUUGGGCGUAAAGCGCG
rnacentral:rRNA from 1 species